GACGAACGCUGGCGGCGUGCUUAACACAUGCAAGUCGAACGAUGAAGCUAGAGCUUGCUCUGGUGGAUUAGUGGCGAACGGGUGAGUAACACGUGAGUAACCUGCCCCGAACUCUGGGAUAACUGCUGGAAACGGUAGCUAAUACUGGAUACGACCAACGAAGGCAUCUUCUGUUGGUGGAAAGAAUUUCGGUUCGGGAUGGACUCGCGGCCUAUCAGUUUGUUGGUGAGGUAACGGCUCACCAAGGCGACGACGGGUAGCCGGCCUGAGAGGGUGAUCGGCCACACUGGGACUGAGACACGGCCCAGACUCCUACGGGAGGCAGCAGUGGGGAAUAUUGCACAAUGGGCGCAAGCCUGAUGCAGCAACGCCGCGUGAGGGACGACGACCUUCGGGUUGUGAACCUCUUCUAGUAGGGAAGAAGCGAAAGUGACGGUACCUGCAGAAAAAGCACCGGCUAACUACGUGCCAGCCGCCGCCGCGG
rnacentral:rRNA from 1 species